rnacentral:rRNA from 1 species
ACGAUGAAGAACGCAGCGAAAUGCGAUACCUAGUGUGAAUUGCAGAAUUCCGCGAAUCAUCGAGUUUUUGAACGCAAGUUGCGCCCGAGGCUCGUACCGAGGGCAUGUCUGUCUGAGCGUCCA